UAGUAGCGGCGAGCGUAGAGGGAAGAGCCCAGCACCGAACCUCGCGCCCUCGGGUGUCGCGGAAUGUGGUGUUCAGGAGGACCGUGCGCGUCUGUCCGGUAUCGUCCAAGUCUCCAUGAAUGGGGCCAGCAACCCAGAGAGGGUGUCAGGCCCGUGGGACGAGCCGCGACCGUGUAUUGGGUCUCUCCUUAGAGUCGGGUUGCUUGAGAGUGCAGCCCUAAGCGGGAGGUAAACUCCUUCUAAGGCUAAAUACGGCCACGAGACCGAUAGCAAACAAGUACCGCGAGGAAAGUUGAAAAGAACUUUGAAGAGAGAGUUCAAGAGUGCGUGAAACCGUUCAGGGGGUUAAACGGGUGGGCCCUCGAAGGUCGAACGGUCCCCACUCCCGUCACCUGUAGUGCCGGCCCGUGCUGCUUUUCGAUUCCGCUACGGAACGAGGCUUGGUGCGGUUCGCCGGUCUACGGGGGCCGCUAGCUGGGGACCCAGUAGGACUCCGCAACCGGCUGGGAGGCCGUCAGAAGGGUUCUGUGAGGAAGCCCCCUCGUUGGGGUGGAUUCCGGGAUUCCGGGCGGUCCUCUCGGCCGUGAACCAAAAUUUCUCUCCUCACGGGGAGAAUGAGCGGAGAGUAGAGUCGGGUCCCACCCGACCCGUCUUGAAACACGGACCAAGGAGUCUAACAUGUGCGCGAGUCGUCGGGUACUACUAAACCCGAAGGCGUAAUGAAAGUGAAAGGCGCCCUUGUUGGCGGCCGAGGGGAGAUCCCGUUCUGCUCCGGUAGCUCGGGCGCAUCCCCGGGCGUCGAAGCCGCGUUGCCGGCUAGACGAACCAAGAGCGUACACGUUGGGACCCGAAAGAUGGUGACCUAUGCCUGGCCAGGACGAAGCCAGGGGAAACCCUGGUGGAGGUCCGCAGCGAUUCUGACGUGCAAAUCGAUCGUCUGAGUUGGGUAUAGGGGCGAAAGACUAAUCGAA
rnacentral:rRNA from 1 species